UACGUAGGAGGCGAGCGUUGUCCGGAAUUACUGGGCGUAAAGAGCUCGUAGGUGGUUUGUCGCGUUGUCCGUGAAAACUCACAGCUCAACUGUGGGCGUGCGGGCGAUACGGGCAGACUGGAGUACUGCAGGGGAGACUGGAAUUCCUGGUGUAGCGGUGGAAUGCGCAGAUAUCAGGAGGAACACCGGUGGCGAAGGCGGGUCUCUGGACAGUUCCGUGACACUGAGGCACGAAGGCCAGGGGAGCAAACGGG
rnacentral:rRNA from 1 species